UUCAAAAUUGUCGACUUUAUGCGGUAUUGAUUUAACUUUUCGGCCGGAAAAAUCGAUUCGGCUUCUCAAAACGCUUUAAAAAUUCUGUAUAGGUUUCGUCGUCAUAAUAUACCAGUAGGCUGUAGAAUCAAAACUAACAUGUUCCGAAAACGGGAAAAUAAAUUGGCAACACUGUUUAAUAUGUUUUUUUUUAAGGCGAAUCCGAAUUUGCAAUCGGUUUGUUUCAAAACGCGCCAGAACUGGUCUGGGUUUAACGUCAAUGAAGCGCUAUCUGUGUCGAAAUCCUAUAUAUACGAGUGCUUAAUUCGUGUCAGAAAUCACACAGUCCGUAAUAUGGAAACCGGAAAACACGGUCCAUCGCAACUGCUAUC